AAACACACCUCGAUGGAUCACUUCCAUGCAGCCGAAUGUCCCAGAAGAUGUCAUUUGUGAUAAUCAAAUGUUGCAAUGCGUUAUUAAUUAUAUUUUGGACGGUCAGCAAAGUGAAUUUGACGCAUCUGUCCUGCAACGCGAGAGAAAAGGGGAUCUUGAUGGAGAACACACCCGGAAGCUGACAACGUGACUGACGGAGGAUCCGAUUUCCAAUAUUUAUUUUUUCCUGAAACAAGUUAACAACAAAUGUACAGCGAUGAUGUGAGUGUGCAGGUUCAUUCAUCGGAUGGUGUGAAUAUUGUGCGGUCUUUGUAAACCAAUGAAGGAGCUCAUGCUUCUUUGACAGAGUCUGUUCUGCUGCUGCUGAGCCUCCCCAGUCUGCCUCGCCAUGCCGCUGGUGUUGGACGCGGUGUGGGCGCUGUGGAGCAUCGGAGCCGGCGUCUACGAUUACUUCCACACCAGCGCCAUGGAGGAGAGGAUCCACACGCUGGAGAACGUCCUCUCCAUCCACCAGUUUGUGAUCGCGGGCCUGUCGGCGGGCCUCAUCCUGCUCAUCACCUACAUACUGUGGAGAAAACACUGAAACAAAAACCGGUGCCAGUCACCCACAUAUUAUGCUCUCCACCCUGAUCAGGACGUCCCAAAUGAGGUCAGGAGCACUGAUGGGACAUGAGGGAUCUGAACACUGGUCCGGUACUCUUUGGAUUGUGGGUCAGAUCUGUUUUUCUGUGUGUUUUGGAUGUAAAACUAUUACAAAAUCAUAACUUCUUCUUAAGGCAACUUUGCACUUUGACGUCCCUGAGAUGAUGCCAUUAAUCUAAACACCUUACUAUUAUGUGUGAUGAGGGGCGAAGACGUUCGGUCAGUGAAGACACUUUAGAAUUUAAAACUCUGGUUAUGUUACAGAACGCCACUAAGUUGUUGUUUUUUUUUACCCCGUUAUCCCAACUUAGUUACCUCGAGAUCAACUGUUUUCUCAUGUUUACACAUUUUCUCCUCUACUUUUUUGUAGUGUUUUAUCUCGGAGCAUUAACUUGAGAUACUGAGGUAAUUGCCUCAUUUUCUUGAUGACUUAAUUAUCUCCAUCCUUGAGAUAAUGAUGGUCAUAAGAAGCCUGUUUCAUCAGGUGAUAUUUACAUCUUUAACUCCACCGAUAAUUCAGUCUUGAAAACUUAAUUGGCCUUUUUGAUGCCUCAUUUAAUUACACCAAACGCUAGUUGUUCAAAUGAAUGAUUUAGAGUGAUUAAAGUUCUUGUUUUACAUAUUUUCAAUAGGAUUUUUGCAAACUCAUCCUCUGGUUUGGGAAAUCUUAAAUAUGUAAAUCAUCUAUCUCUCAGUUCACUGCUACAAGAAGCAGAUAAACAAAGCAUUAAAACAACAAAAAAAUGUAUAAGCUGUGAGAUAUUUACAUUUUAAA